rnacentral:rRNA from 1 species
GAUGAACGCUGGCGGCGUGCCUAAUACAUGCAAGUCGAGCGAACAGACGAGGAGCUUGCUCCUCUGACGUUAGCGGCGGACGGGUGAGUAACACGUGGAUAACCUACCUAUAAGACUGGGAUAACUUCGGGAAACCGGAGCUAAUACCGGAUAAUAUAUUGAACCGCAUGGUUCAAUAGUGAAAGACGGUUUUGCUGUCACUUAUAGAUGGAUCCGCGCCGGAUUAGCUAGUUGGUAAGGUAACGGCUUACGAAGGCAACGAUGCGUAGCCGACCUGAGAGGGUGAUCGGCCACACUGGAACUGAGACACGGUCCAGACUCCUACGGGAGGCAGCAGUACCGAAUCUUCCGCAAUGGGCGAAAGCCUGACGGAGCAACGCCACGUGAGUGAUGAAGGUCUUCGGAUCGUAAAACUCUCUUAUUAUUGAAGAACAAAUUUGUAAGUAACUAUGCACUUCUUGACGGUACCUAAUCAGAAAGCAACGGCUAACUACGUG